rnacentral:rRNA from 1 species
AAAGAAACUAACAAGGAUUUUCUUAGUAGCGGCGAGCGAAAAGAAAUCAGUUCAGCACUAAGUCACUUUGUCUAUAUGGCAAAUGUGAGAUGCAGUGUAAGGAACAUCAAUAUUCUAGUAUGAGAAAUUAACGAUUUAAGUCCUUCUUAAAUGAGGCCAUUUACCCAUAGAGGGUGCCAGGCCCGUAUAACGUUAAUGAUUACUAGAUGAUGCUUCCAAAGAGUCGUGUUGCUUGAUAGUGCAGCACUAAGUGGGUGGUAAACUCCAUCUAAAACUAAAUAUAACCAUGAGACCGAUCGUAAACAAGUACCGUGAGGGAAAGUUGAAAAGAACUCUGAAUAGAGAGUUAAAUAGUACGUGAAACUGCUUAGAGGUUAAGCCCGAUGAACCUGAAUAUCCAUUAUGGAAAAUUCAUCAUUAGAAUUGUGAUAUUUUAUAAAUAUUAUAAUGAUAGUGUGCAUUUUUUCCAUAUAAGGACAUUGUAAUCUAUUAGCAUACAAAAUUUAUCAAAAAAUUUAUGAUUUAUAGUUUAUUUUAAUUAAUAUGCUUGCACUUUAACACAAAAUAAAUUUCAUAAAUUUGAUAAAGUGUUGAUAGAUUUAUUUGAUUACAGUGCGUGAAUUUUUCGGAAUUAUAUAAUAGCAUAAUUAUCAAUGAUUUUUAUGUUUGUUAUAUGCACAUGUAUGAUUAACAAUGCGAAAGAUUCAGGAUACCUUCGGGACCCGUCUUGAAACACGGACCAAGGAGUCUAACAUAUGUGCGAGUUAUUGGGUUAUAAACCUAAUAGCAUAAUUAACUUGAUUGAUAAUGGGAUUAGUUUUUUGACUAUUUAUAGUUGAAUUACACAAUCCCGGGGCG